GGGGCAGUAGCUCAAUGGUAGAGCGCAGGUCUGAAGAACCUGGCGUUGGAGGUUCAAUUCCUCCCUGCCCCA
rnacentral:tRNA from 1 species